AAGAGAGAGAAAAGAAAGAGAGAAGAGAGAAGAGAGAAGGGAGAGAGUUCGUUGGUUGUAAGAGUUUGAGAGUUUUUUUUUUCUUUGUUUUGUU
rnacentral:ribozyme from 13 species